rnacentral:lncRNA from 1 species
CAAUUUCACACUAUACAAUGUCCUCCCUCAAGAGGUUUAGGAUAACAUUCAGAGUAUUUUGGUUGAUGACAAUAUUGAUGAUAUCAUUACCUAGAAAGGAUCCUCAAUUAGUGCUUAUGUUGCUAAAAGGGGUUAUAUCAACUUGAUAAUUAGCAAAACGUCUUUUCUAACAGUGUGACUUGGUUAUGGAAUUUGAAGAUUCCUGAAAACUUGAAGCACUUCAAUUGAUUAGUUGUUCAUGAAUC